UUAGAUUCUUCAAAAAUGUCGUUUCAGUUAUACCAAAUUCUUCGAGAGUUCAUUACCCAGUAGCUACUUUGCACCUCAGUAAAUCAAAUGAGUGCGUUAGAAUCUCGAGCUAGAACCUAUAAAAUUCAAAUCUUGAAUUCACAUUUGCUAUACUAACAGAUGUGCAACUAUCAAGAAUUCAGGAUCGAACACAUGAUUUUUCUUUUAGAAAAUGAAGUGUUUCACCGGGCGAGCUAAAGAAGACUCGUGACAAGUAGUGUCAUUUUACCUUUGUGAAUUAUAUAGCCAAAAUUUGAUGAAAUAGUAUCAGAUGAUACUGCUUAGCUAAGGGGAUAUACCCUGCCUACACAUAUUCUUGAAGAGUCCUAAGGUCCUAUCAGCAUAGCUUAUAGGACAUUACUCAAUAAUACACACAUGACAUUGUUCAGAAUAUAAAUGUUCCAACCAGACACAUGUCAGGAACUUGUAACUAAUUUGCUGUGAAGAUAAUGACACUUUCAAAUAUUGCCAAAACUUGUGCAGUUCAUUAACUCAUUUUGUCCAUCCUCCAAUAGUCAUUUGCCUAACUCCACUUCAUUCUUCUUCCAUGAUCCAGUACCUCAUGACCUAUUGAAUAGUUUCUUGUUCCCUUGGCCCAAAAAAAAGGAAAAAAUCUUGUCAUCACAAUUGAAUAAGGAUUGAUCCCAUACCGCGUUAUUGUUUUGAACCUAGGAUUCUUUUCCUCAUAUCGAAUUCUGAACAGAAGAAACGAACGCUUUUCAGGAUCCCGUGGGGACAAAAUAUUCAAACUAAAGGCCAACUUUAUUGCCAUUUUCUUCUUCCUCCUCCUCACACCUUGCUUUUCUUCAGGGAAAAUGGAUUUAUUGAACAUGGAUUCGGGGAUAUAUGAUAUCGAUUAUAGAGGUCCUGAAACUCAUUCUCACAUUGGGACGGCAUAAUGGAUGCAAAUCUCAAGGCCUUAGAGCUAGUAAGCCUUGUCAAACUCAUGGAAAGAAAAUUCAUGGCUGAGUUUGUAGCAAAGAUUGAUUUAUUGGGUAUUCAGGAAAUUUGGACAAGCAAUGAUUUGAUUCCUAAAAUGCAGAAAGUGCAUACGUAAUGAAAGCAUUAGAAAUACACCAUCUACCAUAAUUUGUGUAAAUGAGGAUUGUGCGAUUCUGAUUGCUGCAAUUACCUUCAUUAUAUUUUUCAACAUUGCACCCUUUAACAUAUCCUGUUUUAUUUACUCAUAUCUAAUGUUCACAUCAAAUCAAUAAAUUCUUAACAUUUGUUAACACAUUUUGAUGACUUUUAUUGUAAAUUGAUAUGAUUUCAUAUUAACGCCAAGUGCGUUCCUUUUGUAACAUGUGCAUUAUCAUUCAACUUUUCUACGAUUUACCCUAUAUCAUAUAUUCAUUUUGUUACAAAUCCAAAAGAGAGCUUUUAUGAGGGGCGAAAUUAAAAUGGCAUAAUACAAAACCAUGCUUUGACUUCGCUUGCAUUUAUGUUCUUCAACUUUCAACUUUGAGUAGCAUAAAUAAACGCUUUAGCUUGUAUAAAGUUGAACAAGUAGACAUACACAUCUUUCGUAGCAUCUGGCAAAUUCAUGCAAAUUGUCACAUAAGACAUGUGUGCCUACUUGUUCAACUUUAUGCAAGUUUAAAUGUCAAUUUGUGCAUACUCAAGGUUGGAGGAUAUAAAUGCAAUCUAAAACCAAGUUAAAGGGCACAUUUAUGUAUCAUUCCAAUUAAAAUUUAUACUCCCUCCGUUUCAAAAAUUUGUUUCAAAAAGAAUUACCUACUUUGACUUGGUACAAAGUUUAAGAAAAUAAAGAAGACUUUUAAA